AUUGUGAAAUGUCCGUAUUGUUUAUAAUAGAAUAAUAUAUUUUUUCUAUAUAAACCCUUUAUAAUUACAAACCCUCAUAAAAGCAUCUAUAUUUUGAUUCUUAUAUAUGGUUGUACCUAUUAAUGUGGAAACACUGUACAUGGAAGGAAAGUAAAAAUCGUAGGUGAGGAUUACUUUCUUUCAUAAAUUUUAACGAAAUUCUUAAAGAAGUACCAGAAAAAUCACAGAUCUAACACAACUAUCGUAAAUUCUACCUAUAUUUGGCACAAUUAAAAUUUGUCAGAGUGACCAACAUCGAAAGGACACAAUCACGCAAAAUGGCGGCCCCCUAGUAGUGGUCAUUUACUUUUCAUUGAAUUGGCAGUCCAGGUAUAUUUAUAAGUUCGUGAAAAAGCACCCGAUUCCCGCCGGUGAUCGUGUAUGUUCGGAGAAAAAUUCGGUCGUUUGACGUGAAUGACAAGAAUAACGACACGAAUGUUCCCGCUUUUUUUGCGUUUGUUGGUUGUUUACUUUCGUAAAAAAGCUCCAACUAAUUUGAUCAAUUAUUGCGAUUAUACUGAACUUGUUUCUUUGUGAAAUAUUGACCAUAUUGUUGCUUAUAGUGUUUUAAAAUAAUACCUGAAAAGCUGUAUUAAUUCCAAUUCAGCGAUUUUAGCUGUAAAGAUGGACGGCCCUACUCAAAACCAUCAGAAUCAGGACCAAACUAUCAACAAAAAUAUGUGCCACUUAUGCAGUAAAAUGUUUUCUUCCAUUUCAGCUAAGAACAAACAUAUUAAAGUUAUUCAUAAGCAGCAGCUUCCAGAUAACCCAGUCACACAUUUCUUGUCCCUUAUGCAAAGAGACUAAAUAUUCUUGUGAGACAUUAUCAAAGACUUGAAGCUCAUUUACAGGUAAGUCAUGAUAUCAAAAUAGAGUCCUCAACUUUCCAUUUUUCCAGCGAAGAAAGAUUUGAGGAAUGGUUAAGAGAGCAUAAAAUAAGCACAAACUAUGCACUUGUUCGCACAAGGAAAAUUGAAGACAAUAUUGAAAAAGUAUAUUGUUGCAAUCGAAGCGAUUUUAGAGGUAAUUUGUAGCAAUUUCAAUUGUUCAUUAUGGUGUGUGAGCAAAGGAAGGGAAGCGAUUCUGUUUUAGGUGAACUCCUUGGGGAAUGUUCUUCCAAUAAUAUUGAAGCUAGCCAUAGUCUAGAAAUUGAAACGUUUGUUAAUGAGAAGAUUACUGAAAAUCAACAAGUAGCAGUACAAGGAUUCACAACAAGCAAUCAACAAGAGAAAUUGAAAUUGAAAGUGUAUCAAACUUUUUAAGAUCUUUAAAUGAUGAAACUUAUGAUAAGUGCAUGAGACAACUGAUAUCAAUGAUGGAACAGAUAAAUAAGACAAAUACAAGUAAACGAAAAAUGGACAAACAAGUUUAUUUUCCAUCAAAGAAGAAGAAGGAGCAGUAAAUAAAAAUAAUAAAUUGUAUAUUUUUUUCUAUUUAUCAGUAUUUUUUUUAUAUAAUAGUAGGUAUAUUUUUAUAGGUUUAAGUAUAUAUGUAUGUAUAUGUGUAUUAUAAUUUUUUUUGUAAGUUUUAGGCAAAUAUUUAAAAAAAUAUUACCUAUCUCAUAAGUUUCUUGCAGUUUCUUCUUAUGAGUAUUAAUGGAAACUGCGAAUUGUAAAUUAGUAUUUUAGCAUAAAAUAAUUGAGUUUCUUUUCAAAUCAGUCAUAUACAUUAUACAUGUUUUUGCAGCAUGUAUAAAAUAAAACUUUUAAUAUAUGAUACCAUUUAUAUAACAGUAUAACUAAU